AUUGAACGCUGGCGGCAUGCCUUACACAUGCAAGUCGAACGGUAACAGGUCUUCGGAUGCUGACGAGUGGCGAACGGGUGAGUAACACGUCGGAACGUGCCUAGUAGUGGGGGAUAACUACUCGAAAGAGUGGCUAAUACCGCAUGAGAUCUACGGAUGAAAGCAGGGGAUCGCAAGACCUUGUGCUACUAGAGCGGCCGAUGGCAGAUUAGGGAGUUGGUGGGAUAAAAGCUUACCAAGCCGACGAUCUGUAGCUGGUCUGAGAGGACGAUCAGCCACACUGGGACUGAGACACGGCCCAGACUCCUACGGGAGGCAGCAGUGGGGAAUUUUGGACAAUGGGCGCAAGCCUGAUCCAGCAAUGCCGCGUGCAGGAUGAAGGCCUUCGGGUUGUAAACUGCUUUUGUACGGAACGAAAAGCCCUGGGUUAAUACCCUGGGGUCAUGACGGUACCGUAAGAAUAAGCACCGGCUAACUACGUGCCAGCAGCCGCGGUAA
rnacentral:rRNA from 1 species